rnacentral:piRNA from 1 species
UGAAAAGUAAGGGUACAUGUCCCUGGAGG